rnacentral:rRNA from 1 species
UUAAAUUGAAGAGUUUGAUCAUGGCUCAGAUUGAACGCUGGCGGCAGGCCUAACACAUGCAAGUCGAACGGUAACAGGAAGCAGCUUGCUGCUUGGCUGACGAGUGGCGGACGGGUGAGUAAUGUCUGGGAAACUGCCUGAUGGAGGGGGAUAACUACUGGAAACGGUGGCUAAUACCGCAUAACGUCGCAAGACCAAAGAGGGGGACCUUCGGGCCUCUUGCCAUCAGAUGUGCCCAGAUGGGAUUAGCU